GUUGGGUAGGGGAGCGUUCUGUAAGCCUGUGAAGGUGGCCUGUGAGGGUUGCUGGAGGUAUCAGAAGUGCGAAUGCUGACAUAAGUAACGAUAAAGCGGGUGAAAAGCCCGCUCGCCGGAAGACCAAGGGUUCCUGUCCAACGUUAAUCGGGGCAGGGUGAGUCGACCCCUAAGGCGAGGCCGAAAGGCGUAGUCGAUGGGAAACGGGUUAAUAUUCCCGUACUUGGUGUUACUGCGAAGGGGGGACGGAGAAGGCUAUGUUGGCCGGGCGACGGUUGUCCCGGUUUAAGCGUGUAGGUGUGUGUUCCAGGUAAAUCCGGUUCACUUUAACACUGAGGCGUGACGACGAGGCACUACGGUGCUGAAGCAACAAAUGCCCUGCUUCCAGGAAAAGCCUCUAAGCAUCAGGUAACAUCAAAUCGUACCCCAAACCGACACAGGUGGUCAGGUAGAGAAUACCAAGGCGCUUGAGAGAACUCGGGUGAAGGAACUAGGCAAAAUGGUGCCGUAACUUCGGGAGAAGGCACGCUGACACGUAGGUGAAGUGAUUUACUCAUGGAGCUGAAGUCAGUCGAAGAUACCAGCUGGCUGCAACUGUUUAUUAAAAACACAGCACUGUGCAAACACGAAAGUGGACGUAUACGGUGUGACGCCUGCCCGGUGCCGGAAGGUUAAUUGAUGGGGUCAGCGCAAGCGAAGCUCCUGAUCGAAGCCCCGGUAAACGGCGGCCGUAACUAUAACGGUCCUAAGGUAGCGAAAUUCCUUGUCGGGUAAGUUCCGACCUGCACGAAUGGCGUAAUGAUGGCCAGGCUGUCUCCACCCGAGACUCAGUGAAAUUGAACUCGCUGUGAAGAUGCAGUGUACCCGCGGCAAGACGGAAAGACCCCGUGAACCUUUACUAUAGCUUGACACUGAACAUUGAGCCUUGAUGUGUAGGAUAGGUGGGAGGCUUUGAAGCGUGGACGCCAGUCUGCAUGGAGCCGACCUUGAAAUACCACCCUUUAAUGUUUGAUGUUCUAACGUGGACCCGUGAUCCGGGUUGCGGACAGUGUCUGGUGGGUAGUUUGACUGGGGCGGUCUCCUCCUAAAGAGUAACGGAGGAGCACGAAGGUUGGCUAAUCCUGGUCGGACAUCAGGAGGUUAGUGCAAUGGCAUAAGCCAGCUUGACUGCGAGCGUGACGGCGCGAGCAGGUGCGAAAGCAGGUCAUAGUGAUCCGGUGGUUCUGAAUGGAAGGGCCAUCGCUCAACGGAUAAAAGGUACUCCGGGGAUAACAGGCUGAUACCGCCCAAGAGUUCAUAUCGACGGCGGUGUUUGGCACCUCGAUGUCGGCUCAUCACAUCCUGGGGCUGAAGUAGGUCCCAAGGGUAUGGCUGUUCGCCAUUUAAAGUGGUACGCGAGCUGGGUUUAGAACGUCGUGAGACAGUUCGGUCCCUAUCUGCCGUGGGCGCUGGAGAACUGAGGGGGGCUGCUCCUAGUACGAGAGGACCGGAGUGGACGCAUCACUGGUGUUCGGGUUGUCAUGCCAAUGGCACUGCCCGGUAGCUAAAUGCGGAAGAGAUAAGUGCUGAAAGCAUCUAAGCACGAAACUUGCCCCGAGAUGAGUUCUCCCUGAGACUUAGAGUCUCCUGAAGGAACGUUGAAGACGACGACGUUGAUAGGCCGGGUGUGUAAGCGCAGCGAUGCGUUGAGCUAACCGGUACUAAUGAACCGUGAGGCUUAACCUUACAACGCCGAAG
rnacentral:rRNA from 1 species